GGGUCUGUGGUCUAGGGGUAUGACACUCCCUUAGCAUCUAUCCUUGUAAAGGAAGAGCUUCGAUAUGGGAGAGGUCCCGGGUUCAAUUCCCGGCGGAUCCA